GACGAACGCUGGCGGCGUGCUUAACACAUGCAAGUCGAACGGUGAAGCUCCAGCUUGCUGGAGUGGAUCAGUGGCGAACGGGUGAGUAACACGUGAGCAACCUGCCCCUGACUCUGGAAUAAGCGCUGGAAACGGCGUCUAAUACUGGAUACGAGAAGGGUCCGCAUGGGCACUUUCUGGAAAGUUUUUCGGUUGGGUAUGGGCUCGCGGCCUAUCAGCUUGUUGGUGAGGUAAUGGCUCACCAAGGCGACGACGGGUAGCCGGCCUGAGAGGGCGACCGGCCACACUGGGACUGAGACACGGCCCAGACUCCUACGGGAGGCAGCAGUGGGGAAUAUUGCACAAUGGGCGAAAGCCUGAUGCAGCGACGCCGCGUGAGGGAUGACGGCCUUCGGGUUGUAAACCUCUUUCAGCAGGGAAGAAGCGAAAGUGACGGUACCUGCAGAAGAAGCACCGGCUAACUACGUG
rnacentral:rRNA from 1 species